AGAGUUUGAUCCUGGCUCAGGACGAACGCUGGCGGCGCGCCUAACACAUGCAAGUCGAACGAGCGAGAGAGAGCUUGCUUUCUCGAGCGAGUGGCGAACGGGUGAGUAACGCGUGAGGAACCUGCCUCAAAGAGGGGGACAACAGUUGGAAACGACUGCUAAUACCGCAUAAGCCCACGGCUCGGCAUCGAGCAGAGGGAAAAGGAGCAAUCCGCUUUGAGAUGGCCUCGCGUCCGAUUAGCUAGUUGGUGAGGUAACGGCCCACCAAGGCGACGAUCGGUAGCCGGACUGAGAGGUUGAACGGCCACAUUGGGACUGAGACACGGCCCAGACUCCUACGGGAGGCAGCAGUGGGGAAUAUUGCACAAUGGGGGAAACCCUGAUGCAGCGACGCCGCGUGGAGGAAGAAGGUCUUCGGAUUGUAAACUCCUGUUGUUGAGGAAGAUAAUGACGGUACUCAACAAGGAAGUGACGGCUAACUACGUGCCAGCAGCCGCGGUAAAACGUAGGUCACAAGCGUUGUCCGGAAUUACUGGGUGUAAAGGGAGCGCAGGCGGGAAGACAAGUUGGAAGUGAAAUCUAUGGGCUCAACCCAUAAACUGCUUUCAAAACUGUUUUUCUUGAGUAGUGCAGAGGUAGGCGGAAUUCCCGGUGUAGCGGUGGAAUGCGUAGAUAUCGGGAGGAACACCAGUGGCGAAGGCGGCCUACUGGGCACCAACUGACGCUGAGGCUCGAAAGUGUGGGUAGCAAACAGGAUUAGAUACCCUGGUAGUCCACACUGUAAACGAUGAUUACUAGGUGUUGGAGGAUUGACCCCUUCAGUGCCGCAGUUAACACAAUAAGUAAUCCACCUGGGGAGUACGACCGCAAGGUUGAAACUCAAAGGAAUUGACGGGGGCCCGCACAA
rnacentral:rRNA from 1 species